UCGUGAAUGAGCAUGAGCAGAGCGUCCUAUUGGAGCAACGCUCUCUGCUCUUUCGCGUUCUUGCACCUCCUCUUGAAUUUGGUCUCAUCGAAUCCGAUUGCUGCCAUUUCUAUGUUGCAUUUGAGUACCUGCUGCAUCGUAUCCGACUUGGCCUGCAUCCUUCUUUGAUUGCGCUGCUUCCAUAUGUGUGUGAAAUAGAAAGAAGAGUUAGCCUGCCAAAAUUCAAAACAUUUAAAUUAAAAAAAUCAGGAAACGGGUCAAACCCAACAACCCAAGUAAAGAUCCAAUUAAAUUAAAAGAGGAGGCAGUUGAAAGGCGGAAGAUAUAAAAAGGAGAGGCAGUGAAAGAAGUUACUGGAAAAGAUUUUCCUUUUGCAUUUGUGAAUUUUUCUGCUUUCUGAUUCCCAGCAGUUUGAUCUUGGUGUUCCAGAUGGGUGGCAGUUGUCAAAGAAAUGAUAUUUUCAUCUCUAAAAUAGUACGAUGAUUAUACUCACAAACGGUCCAAAAAAUU
rnacentral:lncRNA from 1 species